rnacentral:rRNA from 1 species
UGGCGGACGGGUGAGUAACGCGUGGGCAACCUGGCCUGUACAGGGGGAUAACACUUAGAAAUAGGUGCUAAUACCGCAUAACAGGGGAAGCCGCAUGGCUUUUCCCUGAAAACUCCGGUGGUACAGGAUGGGCCCGCGUCUGAUUAGCCAGUUGGCAGGGUAACGGCCUACCAAAGCGACGAUCAGUAGCCGGCCUGAGAGGGCGGACGGCCACACUGGGACUGAGACACGGCCCAGACUCCUACGGGAGGCAGCAG